CCUGAGAAACCCGAAAGAUCGAACGGGGAGAUUCAUCGUCAGCGAUUCUGGUACUUGUACGGUUCGCGAUAUCACGGGGCUUCUGUCUCGCGGCACGCGGUCCGUAUGAUUAUUUUGCCGGUAUCGUCGGCGUGCACUUCUCCCCUGGUAGGACGUCGCGACCCGUUGGGUGUCGGUCUACGGCCCGGGUGGGAGCCUCUCUCGUGUGCGCUUCGCGGCGCUUACGCGGGUCAGACCCCCGGUUGCCCGACCCUGCUGCCCGGCGGUGUAAUUCGCGGUAUCUAGUCGCAAGUAUUUAAACUGCGUCCGGCCCGUUGCAAGCGAGGCAAGUGCUUUCCCGGUAGUUCGGAUCUAAUGCCGUCAUCGGGCCUUGCCAGCUGUUGGUUGACGGUGUCCUAGACUGACUAUUGCAAUUGUGAUACCGGUCGGCGAUGCUACUGCUUUGGGUACUUUCAGGACCCGUCUUGAAACACGGACCAAGGAGUCUAACAUGUGCGCGAGUCAUUGGGAACUGUAAGCCUAAAGGCGCAAUGAAAGUGAAGAUGGGCCUCGCGCCAAUCGAGGGAGGAUGGGUUGCGUCACAAUGCUUCCUCGCACUCCCGGGGUGUCUCGUUCUCAUCGCGAGAAGAGGCGCACCCAAAGCGUACACCUUG
rnacentral:rRNA from 1 species